GUGGAAAUUCUUGAUGCGAAUCUAUCAAUUGGAGUUUAAAAUCUGUAUGUUUUAUCGUCUACGAAAGCGAGGUUCUGGGGUGGCAAGGUGCGCGUGAACGAGGAAAACCGUUAGGAGUGAGAUUAUCAUGGCCAUGGCCAUGGACAUAACACCAGAUUUUGAUCUCCAAGUUGAUAGAUGCGCAUCCAAAUUUCCAU